GCGCGAGUAGCUCAGCGGUAGAGCGUCUCCUUGCCAAGGAGAAGGCCACGGGUUCAAAUCCCGUCUCGCGCU
rnacentral:tRNA from 1 species